rnacentral:rRNA from 1 species
AGUGAACGCUGGCGGUAGGCCUAACACAUGCAAGUCGAACGGCAGCACAGUAAGAGCUUGCUCUUACGGGUGGCGAGUGGCGGACGGGUGAGGAAUACAUCGGACUCUACUUUUUCGUGGGGGAUAACGUAGGGAAACUUACGCUAAUACCGCAUACGACCUACGGGUGAAAGCAGGGGAUCUUCGGACCUUGCGCGAUUGAAUGAGCCGAUGUCGGAUUAGCUAGUUGGCGGGGUAAAGGCCCACCAAGGCGACGAUCCGUAGCUGGUGUGAGAGGAUGGUAGGCCACACGGGAACUGAGACACGGUCAAGACUCCUAAGAGAGGCAGCAGUGGGGAAUAUUGGACAAUGGGCGCAAGCCUGAUACAGCCAGACCGCGUGGGUGAAAAAGGCCUUCGGGUUGUAAAGCCCUUUUGUUGGGAAAGAAAAGCAGCAGGCUAAUACCCAGCUGUUGUGACGGUACCCAAAGAAUAAGCACCGGCUAACUUCGUG